rnacentral:rRNA from 2 species
GCGACCCCAGGUCAGGCGGGGCUACCCGCUGAGUUUAAGCAUAUCAAUAAGCGGAGGAA